rnacentral:rRNA from 1 species
GGUUAAGCGACUAAGCGUACACGGUGGAUGCCCUGGCAGUCAGAGGCGAUGAAGGACGUGCUAAUCUGCGAUAAGCGUCGGUAAGGUGAUAUGAACCGUUAUAACCGGCGAUUUCCGAAUGGGGAAACCCAGUGUGAUUCGUCACACUAUCAUUAACUGAAUCCAUAGGUUAAUGAGGCGAACCGGGGGAACUGAAACAUCUAAGUACCCCGAGGAAAAGAAAUCAACCGAGAUUCCCCCAGUAGCGGCGAGCGAACGGGGAGCAGCCCAGAGCCUGAAUCAGUGUGUGUGUUAGUGGAAGCGUCUGGAAAGGCGUGCGAUACAGGGUGACAGCCCCGUACACAAAAAUGCACAUGCUGUGAGCUCGAUGAGUAGGGCGGGACACGUGGUAUCCUGUCUGAAUAUGGGGGGACCAUCCUCCAAGGCUAAAUACUCCUGACUGACCGAUAGUGAACCAGUACCGUGAGGGAAAGGCGAAAAGAACCCCGGCGAGGGGAGUGAAAAAGAACCUGAAACCGUGUACGUACAAGCAGUGGGAGCACAGAGCAAUCUGUGUGACUGCGUACCUUUUGUAUAAUGGGUCAGCGACUUAUAUUCUGUAGCAAGGUUAACCGAAUAGGGGAGCCGAAGGGAAACCGAGUCUUAACUGGGCGUUAAGUUGCAGGGUAUAGACCCGAAACCCGGUGAUCUAGCCAUGGGCAGGUUGAAGGUUGGGUAACACUAACUGGAGGACCGAACCGACUAAUGUUGAAAAAUUAGCGGAUGACUUGUGGCUGGGGGUGAAAGGCCAAUCAAACCGGGAGAUAGCUGGUUCUCCCCGAAAGCUAUUUAGGUAGCGCCUCGUGAAUUCAUCUCCGGGGGUAGAGCACUGUUUCGGCAAGGGGGUCAUCCCGACUUACCAACCCGAUGCAAACUGCGAAUACCGGAGAAUGUUAUCACGGGAGACACACGGCGGGUGCUAACGUCCGUCGUGAAGAGGGAAACAACCCAGACCGCCAGCUAAGGUCCCAAAGUCAUGGUUAAGUGGGAAACGAUGUGGGAAGGCCCAGACAGCCAGGAUGUUGGCUUAGAAGCAGCCAUCAUUUAAAGAAAGCGUAAUAGCUCACUGGUCGAGUCGGCCUGCGCGGAAGAUGUAACGGGGCUAAACCAUGCACCGAAGCUGCGGCAGCGACACUAUGUGUUGUUGGGUAGGGGAGCGUUCUGUAAGCCUGUGAAGGUGUACUGUGAGGUAUGCUGGAGGUAUCAGAAGUGCGAAUGCUGACAUAAGUAACGAUAAAGCGGGUGAAAAGCCCGCUCGCCGGAAGACCAAGGGUUCCUGUCCAACGUUAAUCGGGGCAGGGUGAGUCGACCCCUAAGGCGAGGCCGAAAGGCGUAGUCGAUGGGAAACAGGUUAAUAUUCCUGUACUUGGUGUUACUGCGAAGGGGGGACGGAGAAGGCUAUGUUGGCCGGGCGACGGUUGUCCCGGUUUAAGCGUGUAGGCUGGUUUUCCAGGCAAAUCCGGAAAAUCAAGGCUGAGGCGUGAUGACGAGGCACUACGGUGCUGAAGCAACAAAUGCCCUGCUUCCAGGAAAAGCCUCUAAGCAUCAGGUAACAUCAAAUCGUACCCCAAACCGACACAGGUGGUCAGGUAGAGAAUACCAAGGCGCUUGAGAGAACUCGGGUGAAGGAACUAGGCAAAAUGGUGCCGUAACUUCGGGAGAAGGCACGCUGAUAUGUAGGUGAAGUCCCUCGCGGAUGGAGCUGAAAUCAGUCGAAGAUACCAGCUGGCUGCAACUGUUUAUUAAAAACACAGCACUGUGCAAACACGAAAGUGGACGUAUACGGUGUGACGCCUGCCCGGUGCCGGAAGGUUAAUUGAUGGGGUCAGCGCAAGCGAAGCUCUUGAUCGAAGCCCCGGUAAACGGCGGCCGUAACUAUAACGGUCCUAAGGUAGCGAAAUUCCUUGUCGGGUAAGUUCCGACCUGCACGAAUGGCGUAAUGAUGGCCAGGCUGUCUCCACCCGAGACUCAGUGAAAUUGAACUCGCUGUGAAGAUGCAGUGUACCCGCGGCAAGACGGAAAGACCCCGUGAACCUUUACUAUAGCUUGACACUGAACAUUGAGCCUUGAUGUGUAGGAUAGGUGGGAGGCUUUGAAGUGUGGACGCCAGUCUGCAUGGAGCCGACCUUGAAAUACCACCCUUUAAUGUUUGAUGUUCUAACGUUGACCCGUAAUCCGGGUUGCGGACAGUGUCUGGUGGGUAGUUUGACUGGGGCGGUCUCCUCCUAAAGAGUAACGGAGGAGCACGAAGGUUGGCUAAUCCUGGUCGGACAUCAGGAGGUUAGUGCAAUGGCAUAAGCCAGCUUGACUGCGAGCGUGACGGCGCGAGCAGGUGCGAAAGCAGGUCAUAGUGAUCCGGUGGUUCUGAAUGGAAGGGCCAUCGCUCAACGGAUAAAAGGUACUCCGGGGAUAACAGGCUGAUACCGCCCAAGAGUUCAUAUCGACGGCGGUGUUUGGCACCUCGAUGUCGGCUCAUCACAUCCUGGGGCUGAAGUAGGUCCCAAGGGUAUGGCUGUUCGCCAUUUAAAGUGGUACGCGAGCUGGGUUUAGAACGUCGUGAGACAGUUCGGUCCCUAUCUGCCGUGGGCGCUGGAGAACUGAGGGGGGCUGCUCCUAGUACGAGAGGACCGGAGUGGACGCAUCACUGGUGUUCGGGUUGUCAUGCCAAUGGCACUGCCCGGUAGCUAAAUGCGGAAGAGAUAAGUGCUGAAAGCAUCUAAGCACGAAACUUGCCCCGAGAUGAGUUCUCCCUGACUCCUUGAGAGUCCUGAAGGAACGUUGAAGACGACGACGUUGAUAGGCCGGGUGUGUAAGCGCAGCGAUGCGUUGAGCUAACCGGUACUAAUGAACCGUGAGGCUUAACCUU